rfam:Picea glauca, whole genome shotgun sequence.
GUAAUGGUGUCUUUAGACACCACCUAUUAUUGGAAUGUAUAUCUCU